rnacentral:lncRNA from 1 species
GAACAUAAAUUUUUCUUGAAUCCUCUAUCUAUUUCUCUUGCUGUAAAAUGUUUGAAGAUCAACAAAGAAGUUUUCCUAUUUUGUAAGUCUUUGAUUAUCUCUGCACUUUUUACUAUUUCCGCAAUUUCGAUGCAAACUUUGUAAUAAUUGUCUACUUGUUGUGAUGAAGAGCAUGGUAUGAGUCCUAAUGGAAUUAUGCGAUGUGGUCAUGUACUUAUAUUAACUAGAUUGGUCUUAAUGACUACAUGAUCAAGGUUGUAUACAGGAAUGAAAUUUUCCUCACAUGCUAUAUUGAUGUAUGAAUUGGAUCUUAAGGCUUGUAGUCUUAUGAUAGGUUUACUAAGUGUUAUGUUGUUAUGGGUCUUUACAUAUACAUUGCACUAGUAGGUAUAGAGUAGUAUUUUCACUAAGGGCUUACAUUGUAUUAAUGUGAAAUGAAGUAUGAAUAUGUGCAAGUUGAUGUAGCUUCCUUUAAUAUGGUUAUACUAUUGACUUAAAUGUAACUUUGAUGUAUUAAACUUCUAUGAUGGUAUGUGUGGACUGUGUAAGUUCUAGGUUUUAUUUUCCUUGUGGCCUUCAGGUGAUUCAUUGCACCAAGUAUUAAUAGAGCAUAACAUGGGAAGUUAUGAAGUUAAAGUAAACAUGUUAACUAUUAAAAAAGAAUAUGCUUACCGUAAACAGAAAGUUGGUUACUGUAAUGUGACCUUAAAUAUGGCUUAAAUUUUAUGUGUCAUUUUAUAUGAUAUUUGUCCUUUAAAUAUUUAUAUAUGAAGUAUGUGCAUGAUGCAAAUGCUAUUACAUAAAGGUCUUAUGAAAAUUUACUCAAAAGACAUGAAGUAUGAUUUCAAGAAAAUGUCCAUUUUAAUGCAUGUUUUUGGAUGGAUUCCAUACUUAGUGUAUUCUUGUACUAACUCCAUUCUUCUAUACUCUUUACACAAAGUGUAGGUUAAGGAUGCCAAAAUGAUGUUCUCUUUAAAUGAGCUUAAUAUGUGAUCCACAAGCUCAAGGAAAGGAAUCCUUAAGACCAAGGAUGUCCUAACGUCUAGUUUACUAUAGAGUUAUGAAUAAGUCUACUUAUGUAUUAUGUUGUACGAGUCGUGUCCCUAAAGUACUCUUAUGAUAUUGAGUCUAGGAUGGCAAAAAGAGACUACAAUCUUUAACUAAGUAUGAUGAUAUUCUGUAAAUAUGAUGUAAUAUUUCUCGCAUAUGAUGCGCUGAGAAGUUUUAUAUUUUCCUCUAAAUUUACAUAUAAUAAUGCGAUGAAUGAUAACUAUGGGC